GACGAACGCUGGCGGCGUGCUUAACACAUGCAAGUCGAACGGAAAGGCCCUGCUUGCAGGGUACUCGAGUGGCGAACGGGUGAGUAACACGUGGGUGAUCUGCCCUGCACUUCGGGAUAAGCCUGGGAAAAUGGGUCUAUUACCGGAUAGGAGCCAUUUUUAGUGUGAUGGAUGGAAAGUUCUUUCGGUGUAGGAUGAGCUCGCGGCCUAUUAGCUUGUUGGUGGGGUAAUGGCCUACCAAGGCGGCGACGGGUAGCCGGCCUGAGAGGGUGGACGGCCACAUUGGGACUGAGGUACGGCCCAGACUCCUACGGGAGGCAGCAGGGGGGAAUAUUGCACCAUGGGCGCAAGGCUGAUGCAGCGACGCCGCGGGGGGGAUGACGGUCUUCGGGUUGUAGACUCCUUUCGCUAGGGACGAAGGUUUUUGUGACGGUACCUAGAUAAGAAGCACCGGCUAACUACGUG
rnacentral:rRNA from 1 species